GAUUACAAUUUAGAACAACUCAAUAACAAUUAAAAGCUAUAUCUUGAACUUCAAUCUUAUUCGCAACCAUUGUGCGCUUGUACUUGAAUUCCGUCAUAUCUCAAUUUUUGCUUCGUUUGUCAUUCAUCAAAACCUACAAAAGAGUACACGUUUAGUAUAUUGCAUUGAGAACGUGUUUCUAACAAAGGUGACUCUGCUCGAUUAUCGAGAUACCGCGAGAAAUGGGGGCGGGUAUGCUUACUGAGCUGACAUGACUCACACUCUAAAGUGGACAAGUGAGAUAAGCCAGGUACCAUUUUCUGAAGUUUUGACAAAUUGUGAUGUCCUAACAUUUAUAUAAUAAAUCUGGUGAAUCGGAAAGUUAUUUGAGGAAGACAAGAUGCGAGUCCAUGUGAUUUUGCAAGGAUAAGGUAAUAAGGUCCAUCUGAUUCACAUCUGGUACCAAUGAUUAGCCCUGUAUUGUGUUCCUGUAUAAAUACAAGGUCAUCAAGAAAUAAAACAGCAGAUUUAAGGGAUUUGACUAAGCGACUAAUGGCUAUGAGAUUAAAAGGACUACCAAGAAGAUAAAGAACGGAGUCUAAAGGUAAGAAAGGAAAUUGACUUACUUGACCUAUUGCAAAUUCCAUGGCUUUAGACCCAUUGGCCAUUGUGAUUGUUGAAAAAGAUUAAGAAUAUGAAAUACUAGUGAAAAUAGAUUUAUUACCAGAUAUAUGAUCAGAUGCACCUGAAUCAAUGACCCAAGACUCAGAAUGUGAAGAUUGGGAGACACAAGUCAUGCUGCUAUUUGUUAGAACAACGGAGGCUUAAUCCUGAAGAUUUCUGUUUACAUGCUUUGUACUGAAGGAACACAAUAUAAUCCUGUAACUAUUUGGAUGAGAUUCAAUGCAUUAAAUCCAACAGAUUAUGAGUUAAAGAUUUCCAAUACUAAUGCUAUUAUAAUAUCGUGCCGGAAAAAAGCAGAAAUUUUCUGGGGAUCACUUUUCACCCCGAAAAAAUCACUGUAGCUGCUAGAAAAAUCAGUGUAGUCGCCAAAAAAAUUCAAAGUGGUCGGACUAAAAAAAAACAUGAUGGGUAGGGUCGGAAAUAAUAGCCUACCUAACUGUUCUGAAGAAUCAUCGUAAAAAAAUGGCCGAAAAGUGCCUGAAGCGCCCGCGCUUGGCCUUCGGAUCUUCGCCGGAGAAAUUCUUUCGACGACAUGUGGGGGCACGUGCAGCCUGUUCUGCCGGAUAUUUUUUGUUAGUUUGGUCGCCCAGCUAUGAUCUACUUUUUGGUGGUAUUAGUUUUUGCGCAACACUGACGAAUAAUAUUAUUCUUGCGGAUAGACUAUUUUUUCCGGAAAAAAGGGCUUCCAGUUGACUGUUUUCUCUUUCCGGAGUUGCUAGAAUUUAUGCACAGCGAUAAGUUUCUCACGAUUGCUCUGAUACCAUGUGAGAAUGCACGAGAGAAAAUUUUUGUUGAUUAAUUAUAACAAUGAUACAAUGAGCCCUAUUUUUCUUAUCAGAAAAAUAGGGAGUCUUGUGUGAUAAGAAAAUGCUACCGUUACUAAAAGAUAAGUUUUAUAGAGCAGUGGUUAGACCGACCAUGUUGUAUGGGAUCGAGUGUUGGCCGGUUAAGAACUCACACAUCCAGAAGAUGCAAGUAGCAGAGAUAAGGAUGUUGCGAUGGAUGUGCGGACAUAUAAGGAUGGAUAAGAUUAGGAAUGAAGAUAUUCGUUUCAAGAGCUCGAACUCGAUAAAAUGAGUGAUACGGAUAUAACAUUACUUAUAUAUAUUAAAAAAAGAGAGAAUAAAUUCAGUCUCCAAAGCCAAUUGAUUGACGAACAAGGCCACCCCACCUGGCACGGUGAAGCCAAACCCAGCCAAAAGGCCUAAAAAAGCAAAUGAAAAAGCCAAGUCGGCCAAUGUCUCGCCUUCACUGUGCAAUAUUUAUAAAAGGCGGAGAUAUCCCCAUCUCACCCAGCAAAAUCCCCUUUUCGCGAUUCUGAGCGUAGUAUAAUUCUUCAUAUGCGCGCGCACGUACACAUUUCACUGAAGCAGUGAAUUUCAAUUUUUUUAAAAAAAAACCAUAAAGCUGCCUUUUCCUUUCAUUUGCUUUUUGCCUCUCUUUUUAUUCUCGAGCCUUCUCUUUCUUAGCCUGAAAGCUGCCUUCCUCUCUCCCUCUAUAGCACUGGUCAGUGGCCACUCUCUAUAUAUGCUCUGCAAAACAUCUUUUCUCUCUUUCAAUUUCAGCCACAUUUCCAAUUUGAGAAUCUAAACAUUCAUCUGCUCAACUUUCAGGUAUUUUUUCUCUCUCUGCUAUCUCUUUCUGAAAAGUGAAAUCUGUGCGGUAUUUAUAUGUAUGUGCUGGUGCAAGUAUUUGGCUGAUUGAACGAGGUUAAUUGAAUGAUCUGGAUUUGAAUCCGCGAUCAGAAAAUCGCGGAAUUUCUGGUUGAACAUGCACUUUCUAGGCAUAGUGAAAGAGGAUGUGAAUCCUUAGCUUUUCGCUCUGCUUUUUUAAUGCCGUUAUUUUGAAUCACGUUUCGGGAAUUUUCUGUUUGCAUGAUUUUCAGAUAAAGUGAUGUUUCAUUUUAGAUUUAUACUAUAUUAUAAAGAGUUUAACUAAUACUCAAUGACAGUGAAACGAACUUUUAAACUUUGUUUUUUAAAAUGAUAAAUCUUAUUUUUAUGAAGAAUUACCUGUAAAUAUUUUUUGUUUAAUAUAUGCCGAGGCAGAUACAGAAUUUUUAAAUUAUGAGUUCUUAAUUAUUUUUAAUCUGAAAAUUACUACUGAGAAUGAGUGCUUAAUUAAUAUAUUUAUACUUAUAAUUUACUAUGUGUUUUUUAUAUAAUUAUAAAGUUUGGCUCCAAAAGUAAUGGGUGCUCAAGCACCAUGGUCCAUAAUGUACAUCCGCCACUGGAUAUAUGUAUAAUUUUACAAAUAUCUUUUGUUUAAUCUGAUAGUGAAAAAAAGUGUUGGUGUAUUAAACGCAAUAUAUGUGGAAGUAUAGAUAUCCUUCCACAUGAAAUAGAAAAUAUCUGUUUCUUCUGAUUUAGGAGUGAGUAUUAGAUGCUGAAUUUUGAGGACACAAUUUGAAGUGCAAAAAAGGUGACGUAAAAAGUGCAUUGGUAGUCCGCCACUCCAUCUUGAAUGCAGGAACUCAUGUACUGUUGUGCUUGCCCACUCAAUUUGAACUUGUUAAAUUUCAGAAGAAUAGAAUCGGUACACUACAUUUAAAAACUAUUUUCAGUCAUACUUGCUUAUGUGGAUUUUGGAAUUUAACAAAUAACAUUUAAAUUCAUUAUUUCAGGGUAAAGUUUUCAAGUUUUUGUCACUAAAAAAUGCUACAAUAAUUCUAAUACUCCAUAUAGUCUGUGAAAUGUCACAUCUGUGUGUGUGUGUUUGAUUGUUGUGACUUGUGAAGUUGUGUUCAAUCCACCCUCCACUAUAUUUUCUACUAGGACUGCUGCAUAGAGGAAAAUCAGAAAAGCUUUGUGGAUUUUGUUUUUGCUCUCAUUGUUAGUUUUGUGGAAAAAGAUUCGGUUGGUUAGGAUUGAUGUAAACGCCAACCUCAUACAUUUAAUUUGUUCUAACAUACGUUUAUUUUAUUUCUAGAUUUCCAAAUUAGAUUAUUAUAGAGUGUUACCUCUUUUUGGUUGUUGUUUUAUGUCGUUUCAAUCUGGUGUAAAAAGAGUAUACAAUAGCAUAAAAGUUAAAUUUAUUUAUUAAACUUUAUAAUAGAUCGUUUAUUUUAUUUUUUAUAUUUCAAAUUUAAAUUUUAUAGAGUGUUACCUUUUCGCCCUUGUUGUGUCAUUUAAAAUUAAAUCUGAUAGUGUGAAAAAGUCAUAGAUAAUAUUUUUAGGCAUAGAAGUAAACUUAUGCAUUAGAUUUUUAACAACUUUUAUUGAAUAGAAAAUUAAAGCCUCAGACUUCGCUGGACAACGUUCCAUUAACCUGGGGUCCUAAAAGCCUAUAAAAGGAAAAAUCAUUUUGAGAUUCCUUCUCCGAUAUUAAAAAAAGGAAUAUAAAAUAGACCCUUUCAAAGACUCAAGUGGCCCAUAGACCCUUCAAAAGAGGGUUCGGGUUCUCUAUAAUUUGUUCUGAUUAAUUUUUUAUUAGGUUCACUUUCUAAGAGAAUUUUUUAAUUAAAACAAAAAUUAAUUCCUGGGUAUUACCAUGAAAGUGCAUUCUUGCGUAAGCGCUGCCUUUUCCAGCUUUUUUAAAAUACGAAUCUCAAAAAAUAAAAUCUCUGUGUCAGCUGCAUGGCUGUAAGGCUUUAUGUAGCUUUUAAAGCUUACACGAGGAUUCGUCUGCUCUUCCACUUCCACUUCCCCUCUCGCUAUGAUAAUUCUCUCUUCUCUGCCACCCGAAAUCUUUAUAUAUUCUCUAUUUCUCCCUCUUUCACCUCAAAGAAAGGUUGUCAAUUUAAUUCACCCACCAAAUGUUAAUUCUUUAUUCUAACUCUUGCUCUUUUGAGUCAUGAUUCUAUAGCUUUCUGGUUAUUGACGUUUGGAUCAAAUUAGGCCAGAACCCUCAGGUUUGACCGAGUCUUGAUUUUAUUUUCCCGUUUUCGCGAUACUCCUCUGGUGGUUUUUGAAGUUGGGUUAGGAUUGUUUACCUAUCAGGCUGUCACACAAAUAUUUCUGGCAUUAUUAGCUGCGCAAAAGGUUAGAAUUCUCAAUUCUAUAGCAGGCUUUUGAUUUUCUGCAUGCAAUGUGUUUGUGCCAGUGUCCGCGUUGAAUCUAAUAAUUGUUCAGAAGCAUUACAAUCGUUCUUUCUUUUACUUUUUGUGCGCCUUUAUACUUAUACACUUGUCGUUGCUCACUUUGGUUGAUUUUUCUUGUUUUCUUGACCUGAACUUGAGAUACCAAAUGAAUUUGUACAACGUGAUUAAUUAAAAACCUUGGAGGAAAACAGCCAAGACUCUUAAUGGUAGACCCCAUUUCCCCUGUAGAAAUCUGUGGAUCCCAUUCUCCCUGUUAUCUCUUGUGGUAGACCCCAUUCCCUUUUAGAAUUCUGUGGAUCCCAUUCUCCCUGUUAUCUCUUCCUUAGUAUAACUCUGUUUUUCUCUAUUAUUGGUUAUUCUAAUUUUUAAAUAUUGGAUUGGUACAUGUCUAAAUGUAGCUACAUGGAUAGUGAAGAGUCGUAUAGCUGAUCCCCACUAGCUUGGGAUUGAGGCGUAUUUGUUUUUUUUUUAUUGGUUUAUUUAACAAGAAUGCUGUUGUACUGUUCACAUAUGUUACCCUGGGCUAUGCAAUUGCAUUUUCACUGUUCGUACUUGAGGCGAUUGUGGAAUUUUAUUCUUGUAUCAUUCAGGAGGGAGUUUCUUCUAUCACUACCACUUAAUUUGCUAUAAUCAAGAUGAAAGACGUUUGUUUUCAGGGACAACAGAACUCUAUUAAAUUCAUCCUAGGAGGUCAUAUUCUAGAUAGAUGCCAGGAAACAAGUACAACGGAAACCAAACGGUUGCCACCACUCGAUUGGAGAGGCUAUUGAGAGAAAGAGAGCUAAGGAAAACUAGCAGAACUUCUCACCAAACAAGCGAUUCAACUGAUAGCAACAGGGGCAAUGAGCUCUCUGACCAUGAUUUUCGCCAAGGAGAAGCUGAUAAUGCAGGAGUUUCAUAUGUCGAACAGUACCUAGAAGGAGUUGCACGAGCAUAUAGUGAGGGAUGGGAGCGGCCCGAUGGACGGCCCGCCAGACAACGACUCCUGGUUGUGGCUAAUAGGUUACCUGUCUCUGCAGUAAGAAGGGGUGAGGAAUCCUGGUCUCUGGAGAUAAGUGGUGGAGGUCUAGUUAGUGCUCUUCUUGGUAAGCUAGCUUCCUUUCAGUCAUAUCUGAUUUUUCAUUUUGACUCUUAUUUUUACCUAGACUCUAAUUAUCUCUUUUUGGGAGUUCGAUGUUCAUAUUAUCUAAGAGAUGGUCUAAUUGUUCUGGAAAUAAUUUGUUGAAGGUGUGAAGGAGUUUGAGGCUAGAUGGAUUGGUUGGGCGGGUGUGAAUGUGCCAGAUGAGGCGGGGCAGAGGGCACUUACUAAAGCACUGGCAGAAAAGGUUUUAAUACAUCGUCCUCCUCAUGUUUUUGCCACCAUAUUUUGUGCCAGAUGAGGCGGGACAGAGGGCACUUACUAAAGCACUGGCAGAAAAGGUUUUAAUACAUCGUCCUCCUCAUGUUUUUGCCACCAUAUUUCAGUUUGCCACACUUCAUUGCCUUUUUGAAUUUAGGACUUUGGAGAUAGCUUUACUUUUUUUUCUCCAAGAAGAAUGCUUUACCUAUAUCCUGCAUUUGUUUACCCUUUUGAUACUGUUCUUGUAGAGGUGUAUCCCUGUGUUCCUGGAUGAAGAAAUUGUUCAUCAGUAUUACAACGGUUAUUGCAACAACAUAUUGUGGCCUCUUUUUCAUUAUCUUGGACUUCCGCAAGAAGACCGCCUCGCGACUACCAGAAGUUUCCAGUCUCAGUUUGCUGCUUAUAAGAAAGCGAAUCAAAUGUUUGCCGAUGUUGUGACUGAACAUUAUGAAGAAGGUGAUGUAGUCUGGUGUCAUGACUACCAUCUCAUGUUCCUUCCUAAAUGUCUCAAGGAGUACAACAGCCAAAUGAAAGUUGGGUGGUUUCUACACACACCCUUUCCAUCCUCAGAAAUUCACAGGACAUUGCCAUCUAGAUCGGAGCUGCUCCGAGCAGUUCUCGCGGCUGAUUUGGUUGGGUAAAUUCUUCUUUGAGCAACUCAUUCUCCUGCAUAUCAUCGAACUUCCUGUUUUCGUUUAACCUUUAAAAUUUGGAAAUAGUUGUUGGGACCUCAGAGUGAUAUUCCUGUCUCUCUGUGCUGAGAGUCAAAGUUGAAGUAGAGGACUACUGCGAGGAUCUUGAAUUCUAAGGUUGUAGGCAUCGAUCUGCGGGGUUUGUUUAAUAGAAAUAACUUAUUACCGGUAAAAAAGAAAUAACGUACUAGUGGUUAGAUUUCUGUGAAAUCUCUUCCUCGCACUAACUUUACCUGGUGAGGCAUGUUUGAAAGAUAUGCUUCGGUAACACCUAGCAUGAUUAUGAAAGACACUCUGCCAAGAAAGUAUAACUAGGAAAAGUCUAUAUUAAAGAGAUUUACAUCAGACCUUAAUAGCAAAGUGUGCUGGUUCUGCUAUUUCAAAUCUACAGCAAUUUCCCCAUCAUUAAUGUUGAGAAUAAUGGGUGUUCCAUGAAUCUGCUAUUAGUUUGCUGCUAGUUCAAUUAUGUUAGAUGCUUGGAAAUUCAUGCUGAAGUUGAUGAUCCUUUUAUUAAAUUAUUAUUUGCUAGGAUAUUUGGAUUUAGUUGUGCUGAGAUUGUGAUGAUUCAAUUUCCAGUGACUAUUUCUAUCUGCAUGAACUUGUACCGUUAUGCUUUUAAAUACGAAUUUUUCACUUCUGGUUUAGAAUGCAGUACCAAGAACUUCCAUGCAUCGAAUGUCUCCUAUUAGAGUCCUUUCCUUUUUUGGUGAGAGGUUUCCAUGUAUAAUAUGGGGUAUUCUUUCAGUUCGUUGGAUUGUAAAGCUUCAGAUAUAAGUUUAAGCCAGUGUGACUUUUUCCCUUUUCAAAAACCGGAUCCUAUUACUUAAUUACUUAUAACUUGAUUGUAUUUGGGCUAAAUUUGAAAUGGUAAUCCAAGUGGCUUCUUAUUUGCUCCUCCUAAUGUUCUAUUGAAUGCUAAUCAUAAAACAUAAUGCUCACAUGGGUUUUCCUCAUACAUGUGUGGUUAUAUUUUCAAAACAAACUGUCUGCCAGUUUAGGUUCUUUUAUUUCACACUACACCUUGAAGUUUCAUUCCAGAGUUUAAGCUGAUAAGAAAAAAAAAAUAAGAUUCCACUAGUUAACCUCUAUGAUAAGAAAGUGUACUGGCGAAGUUGGUUCACAAAUCGUAGCAUAACCUUUCAAAUUAAGCUGAAAAGGAGAAUAUGCUGGUUUCAUUUGUAGCUUUUAUCUGUCUAUAUAAUGACUAUCCAAUAAUUCUAGAUACCAUGUUUUGGUUGUAUCAUGCCAGAGUAACCAACUUCCACUUCAUUGCACAUCUUUGACUUCCUGGUCCGUUAAGGAAAUGAUGUCCACUUUUUCUCCUGUGACUUUUCAUCCGUUAACCUCUAUGUAAUGAAAGUCCUUAGGGCUUGGACCUAUAUUUGCAUAGUUUGGUGAUUUAAAACCAUCUAAUUAUUACUCAAGCCAGGAAUGAUUAGUCAUGUUUUAGGGAUUUUUAUUGGACUUUCUAAUGGAUCAAUAUGCUAAAUUUCCUCUGCAGUUUUCAUACCUAUGACUAUGCAAGGCAUUUUGUUAGUGCAUGUACUCGUAUCCUUGGACUUGAAGGAACUCCCGAAGGAGUAGAAGAUCAAGGUAGACUGACCCGUGUCGCUGCGGUACGUUAAAGUUAACUUUCUACACUUUCACACAAACAUUUCUGCAUUAAGAACUUCUCUAAUCCUCAUCUAAAAGAUUUUGUGUACUUAGCCUUGCGAAAUAUCAACUUGAUUUCUUUCUGAGCAAUUUUUAAAUUGUUUGUACAUACAGUUCCCCAUUGGUAUAGAUUCAGAGCGAUUCAUUCGAGCACUUGAACUUCCUCAAGUUCAGGAACAUAUUAAAGAACUAAAAGAUAGAUUUGCUGGGAGAAAGGUAUUUCUCUCCCGCUCUGUAUCCUCUCUCUAUCUGGCCUAAAUGAUAACACUUUCAUGAAGUAAGAAAAAUCUUUUUGUUUUUUCUGAUUGCAAACAUUUACAUUUGCUUUCUUUUUGAAAUGAUGUCACUUUCAUGAAGUAAGAAAAAUCCUUUUGUUUUUUCUGAUUGCAAACGUUUAUAUUUGCAAUAUGCAUCACAUGGGGAACAAUUUGCUUUUAGAAUUUUUUUUCACCAAUUUCACUGUCUAUUUUUAACUGUGAAAUCUUGGCAUUGAAUUCCAUCAAUAUCAUAUUUCCGCUUCCCAGUUCCUUAGGCCAGUUGCAGACUUGGUCAUGACCGGGAUCCAUCUUGGGUAAUUUUAUCAUCGUCUUCUGAAAAUUGUACCUCCCCUACAAAGAUUGCAGAAGUAAUGUCACCCUUUUCUAGUAGUGUACUUUCGAUAAAAAUGGGGGCUAGAUAAAAUAGUACGAAACAGGGGCAGGCUUAAGCCAUAGAUUCAAGUCCUACGGCUGCCUGUCAUCACAAUACGUUCAUGUGCUUACAUCAAGCAAAAAGUUGCCUGUUUGCUGCACCAGAAGGUGUAUCUUGGAGGCGUAAUAAGUAAAUACUUCCGUUCUGUUACUACAGUUGACAUGCUUAACACUUAGAUAGUCGGAUAUUUCUUACUGAAUUUUUCCUAUUAUGAAACAGUAUAUGGAUAUGAAUAUGGAAAUAGGACAGUAAUUUUAAAAAAAAAGAUAGAAAAAAAGAGAUAAAGAAAGAUUUCUUUGCAUUUGCCAGGAGUAAUUAUGUUCUGUUGUUUUGCUGCCUUAAAGCAGAUGUAGCUUUACGCUCUUAGAAAUUCCAUGUGGCUUUAUUAUGGUUGGAGAUCUUUCCCCUUUUUUCUGUUUUGUACAAAAUCCAUAUUCCUUUUUCUUAUUAAAAGGUGAAAGUAUUUGCUACUAAGUCAUGUAUGUUUCAAUUUUCUGAAGGCUACCUGGAAUUUCCUCACCUUUUGUUGCAAAGCUAUGUCAGUCUUGUGUUCUUGCUAGUCAUUUUUUUAUCUUGUUUUAUGUAUACCAAACUCGUACCACUUUUUUCUGUUUCUGCCUGUAGUCAGGUAGGAGGAUGACCUUAUCUGCUGCAAUUGUUUAUGCAUUGGUCCUAUAAACUUUGACCUUGCUUAGUUUUCCCCAAAUAUAUUUGAAUACAGGUGAUGUUAGGAGUUGAUCGCCUUGAUAUGAUUAAAGGAAUUCCCCAGAAGAUCCUAGCAUUUGAGAAGUUCCUUGAAGAAAACCCGUACUGGCGUGAUAAAGUGGUUUUGCUGCAAAUUGCUGUGCCAACAAGAACAGAUGUUCCUGAAUGUAUUUCUUGGGCACAUCAUUCUGAGUUCUUCUUUAUUCCUUUAAAUCACUUUAUUUUUUCCUUUUGUCCUAUUUGCCAUUACUGCCUGUAGGGAAAGUUUAUUCCACUAUAAUGGUCCAGUUCAUCAUUAGCUGUUUUUACAUCUGAACAGAGAGUUCCUAGGAAGGGGAGUUUUUUGAUUCAUAAGUCCACUGGUCAAAGCCUAAAAAAAAUUUGUCUAGGGAAAGCAUCAUAGAUUAUUUACAAAAUAUAGACGCUCUAAAAUUUAAAGAUCCCUGUUAAUGACCUUAAUGAUCCGGACUUGAGGGCUAGCUAGCUUUUAGAGUUGUUAAGUUAAUUGUUAAAUGUAUCUGCCCAGGAAAAGGACAUGUGCCACAUGCAUUCCAUCAUGAAUCUAUUUAGUUGCAGAAUAUAAUCCUCCCUUCCUGUUGGCUAAUUCAUCUGUGCUUAUAACCAUGAGUCGUCUUUGAUUACUCCUAGCUUGUCAGCAAUAGCUGCACCGGUAGGAGUGAUCAUUUUAGAGAAAUAUCUCUCUCUCUCUCUCUCCCUCUCACUCUCCCUCUCUCUCCUUCACUUUCCAUGUCUUUCUGUCUUAAACCUGGUGCGUACUUUCCAUAUUGGUUAUUCAUUGAGGCUAAACUGUAUGUUGAGGGAAUCACGCAUCCUUUUACUUUCCAUGCUAUAGUUGUAAUGAAGUUUUGUUCUGCAACAGAGACAUCAGGUACAAAAUUUAAAUUAGAAAAUUGUGUAACAGUAUAGUUUGCACCCCACAAUGAUCUGUCAUUACAUUAAAGAGCUUGGCAAGAAAACUAGUUGAGGUGGUUAUCUGAUUCUUUUUGUUUUCACUUUAGAAUAAGAUUACAGUGUGUAAUGCUAGGACAUUAGAAAAACAUUACACAUGUAAAGUCUUUUCAAAGAAGUUGAAGCAGUUCAAUACAACUUUGGAAUUCUUUCUCUGAGCAUUAAUCAUCCAGCACAGUCCUCAACUUGGACGGAACAUCCAUGAGAGGAACAAAGAUGGGAUUCAAACCAAAGCUUAUUACUCUUUUUAUUCACCUAUUUUCCUGUGGAUUCCGUGAGAUACUUUGUCUGUUGCAUCUAGAAAUGCUUCCAUGGAAAUGACAGUUUCUAUCUGAUGAACUUUGGUGACUAGCUUAUUCUCCUUGAAUUAGCUCGAGUACCACUCACAAGGGAGAUUAUCUUGUAAGCUUUCAACUAGGACAGUGCUUUACUUCCCUUUUCUGAAUUUUAAAAACUUAAAUAUCUGGGAAUUCAUGAACCCAGUUGGACCUUAAGGACAGUCAAAUUUCAAUAAGAUUUAUUUGGUUAUAAAUGCUGAUGUAUGCAAUUUAUCUUCAUGCUUAAGUAUGAUAUUUUACUUGGUUUCACCUUGUAUUUUUGCAGACCAAAAACUUACUAGUCAGGUUCAUGAGAUUGUUGGACGCAUCAAUGGCCGAUUUGGAACUUUGACUGCAGUGCCUAUUCAUCAUCUGGUUAGCCUUUUUUCCCUAAAUUCAUUUUUCCUGAAUUUUACCAAGGCUGAAAAAUGGCUAUACUGUUUUUUCAAUGCAGGAUCGAUCUCUUGACUUUCAUGCAUUAUGUGCACUAUAUGCUGUAACUGGUAAUCCCUUUCAUCUUGCAUUUAGUUCUAUUAGCAGCUUUCACUCCCCAUUUGCACCCCCAACCCCCACACUUCUUAGUUGCAGUAUGCUAUGCUAUUCUGUGAGAUAAUAAUGUGUAAUAGUAGUGUUGUUUCUGCUCAUCUAUGUUUGGUCAUUUUCUUCUGUACUUUACAUGUAAGCACUAGUACAUGCUUGUGCUCUCACCUGGUAUGAGUUUAUUAGAUUGUCUCUGGAAUUGGAACUAAACUAUGAGAAGAGAAGAGUGGUGAGCAGUUGAUGUUUAUGUACGGUUGUACUCCUGGUUAGUAACUAGUUCUUUGUUAAUACAUAUAUGGGGAAGGGUAUAUCUCUACACAGUUUUCAUAAGGUUGUUUCCCUUCGGGUUUGGUAAUUCCGUUCUCUUUUAAAGCCACUUCCAGCAGAAUUUAGGAUAAUUACUCUCCCAGGCUUAAAAUACUUGUAGUUUCAGGACUCUUAUGGUCCUUACAAAUGAUAUUGACAAUGGAUUAGCUUAUAGAGACCUCUGCAUGUUCUCAGAGAAGUCUGCAUCAUGUGAGACUUUCUAGAAAAAGGAUAUCAAACUUGCAGAUCCUGGAAUUGGUUCAAAACUUCUGAAAGACGGAACAUAAGUUUAGAUCUGCUCACUGGGCUUUAUUAUUAAGAUCUGGCAUAUUGUUUUAACUUCAUCCUUUCCGUACUAAAUGGUUGAAUCACUUUGAUGUAGUAGUGAAAUGUGGACAUUCAGUUUGGGAAGGGAAGGAGAAUUGUGUCUAUGAGCAUGUAGGUAUUGUGGUUAUAUAUUUUCUUACUGCCUUUCUCCUGUGAAGUUCUUUCUGCCUCUGGCACCAAACCAACAUAUUCCUUCCUCACACUAUCAUUUUGCUUUCACCCAAGGCAGAAACAGUUCAGCAGCUAGAAGCCCAAUAGUCUGUUUUCUUGCUGCUUUCUUUGUUUUGGGUAUCUUGCACUUACUUCUCUAUUGGUUGAUUUGUUUAUAAUGAUCCUCACACUCUCAUUUUGCUUUCACCCAAGGCAGAAAGAGUUCAGCAGCUAGAAGCCCAACAGUCUAUUUUCUUGCUACUUUCUUUGUUUUGGGUAUCUUGCACUUCCUUCUCUAUUGGUUGAUUUGUUUAUAAUGAAUCACAGAAGUUUGACCAGGAUCUAUAGAUGGAUUUUACCCUGCAUGUGGACUAGGGAGAGUGAUUUUAUUGCUCCAGCCAUGAAUGGUCUUUCAGGCGCAGGUCCCUACUGCUUACCUGUUUGUUCCAACUUAUUUCCUAUAUGGAUUGUAUUUGGAGCAUGGACCACUGAGGUGCCGAGUUCCUAUAAGCUACUGCAACCAGAUAAUGCAUAAGUUGUGCUCCAGGAUUUGAAUAGGGAACGAGUAUGCUUGAUCACGUUUGGAAAACAUAUGCCUGCCAUAGUCCAAAUGUACCUUUAUGGCUUUAGUGAUCUUGAAGGGAAAAAUAAAUAUUUUACUAGUAAUACAGUUUGUAUUCUACUUGUCAUAUUACCGAUGGUUCAAGACUAUAAAAUGGUAAAACGAUAUAUUACUGACAUGAUGGUAAAAAGUUUGCAAAUAUAAAAUAAAUAAUUACUGCAAGAUUAUCAUUGUUAUCGUCCCAAAUACCAUUCUUGCCAAAAGUUGAUGUAUGUUAUAUGAUAUAUAUUGGUACCUUAAUUUGUCUUUUCAUCAUUAGCUAAAUCCAUGUGGUAGCUACAUGCCUGUUCCUGUUGUAUUUGACUUCUUUUGGCAAUGUCUUGUUCAUCAGAUGUAGCGCUGGUUACCUCCUUAAGGGAUGGCAUGAACCUUGUCAGCUAUGAAUUCGUGGCCUGCCAGGAGUCGAAAAAAGGGGUCCUUAUUCUCAGUGAAGUAAUAAUCACAUAUCUAAUUGCAAUUUUAUUUCCUCGAAUGCCAUGUUUACUAGUUUUUUGGUUUCGAAAGUGUUUUAUGCUUUCAGGCAUUGUGAACAGAUAAGAUGAAAAGAUUUUUGCAGCAUAACCCACAUAGACAGGACAUUCUUGUGUUUCUUUGCUACUUUAUUUUGACGAGGCUAACAGUUUAUAGAAAACAAAAGCAAGAUUACAGUUAUCCUAAUUCCUUUCAAAAUUUUGAUGCCCCUCAGUCUUCUUGAAUCACACAUGAUGCUCCAUACAUGGUAUCUUUUGUUCUCUUACGUCUUAAUCAUUUCCGAAGUCAAGGAGGUUAUUUUUCGCAAGACCUUUUGCAGAUAGAACAUCUGAUUUGACAAGUUUUUGUGACACAGGCCAUAAUUUUCUUUCUGAACAGCUGCGCUCCAGCUUCUUUGAACAGCCUCUGUUAUUGGUGUUCUUUCGUUUAGAUUGAUUUUAUGUGACACAACAUAGCAUGUCAACCAAAUGAAAAAAUCAAUCCUUUUCUAUUCUGUUAGAUAUCUAAAUAAACCAUAACUGACAUGUUGCUUAUUCUCUUCCUAAUUGUGUAACUAUUGAGUAUUCUAUGUGAUAUGUUGUCAUGGAGUAAAGAUAAUUUAUGAAAUCAAAAUAAUGGAGCCUCUCUGCCCUUUCGGGUAGGGGUAAGGCUCGUCUACAUAUUACCCUCCCCAGACUCCACUUUGUGGGACUAUACUGGGUAGUUGUUGUUGUUGUUGUUGGAGCUACCAUUUCAGUUUUGCAGUAAUCUUGAAGGAAAUUUUACUGCUGUGCUGUCCAACGCAUUGAAAUUGUCUCAUCUCUCUUUGUAUGUGCAUAGUUUCAAUAGAUAAAUUUUCUAAUCUUUAAUCUCGUGCAUUUGUAGUUUGCAGGUGCUGCACAGUCCUUAGGUGCUGGAGCAAUUCUGGUGAAUCCAUGGAAUAUCACAGAGGUCGCUGCGUCGAUUGGGCAAGCUUUAAAUAUGUCAGCCGAAGAAAGAGAAAAACGCCACAGGCAUAACUUUCUGCAUGUGACUACCCAUACUGCUCAAGAAUGGGCUGAAACUUUUGUGAGGUGACAAUACAUUUCAGCAAUAGCCUAUUAUCGUUAACAGUGUAAAGCUACUGUGGAUUUUUGCCUAAUCACUGAUCAGACUAGGGGUGUGCAUUCGAUUUAUCGAUUCGAUUGACCCUUAUCGAUAAUUACUUAUCGAUUAUCGAUUUGUACAUAUGUCUAUCGUUAUCGUUUCAAUAAGGUUUUGAUUUUUUCGAUUUCGAUUUAUCGAUUUUUGAGGCUUAUCGAUUCGGUUAUCGAUUAUACCAAUAAGAAAAUUUGUGGCAAGUAUAUCGCUAUAAACACGCCUAACUAAUAUGGACAAAAAGAAGCUAAAAUAAAACGAACACCGUUUAUAACAUAACAAUUAUGUCAACAGGCACAUGCAACGAAACUAAAUUAAGGGAUCAAAUGGAUUUCACCAACACUCCAACGGUAUUAAAAAAAUAAAAAUACAUCAUCACUGCUAAUUCUAUUUUCCAUUAAUUUGAACUUCAUUCCAUUUAGCUUUAAAUAUGAUCAUUCCUUAAAUUUGGAAGGUGAAAUAAUUAGGAGUGUGCUUUCGAUUUUGACCCUUAUCCAUAAUUACUUAUUAAUUUGUACAUAUGCUUAUCGUUAUCGUUUCAUUAAGGUUUCGAUUUUUUCGAUUCGAUUUAUCGAUGAAUCGAUAACAAAUAAUCGAUUCGAUUAUCGAUAAACCGAUUCGAAUGCAUACCCCUAGAUCAGACUCCUGUAAAGAACCUAUUUGGCGGCAAAAGAGUAAUAAUAGUAUAAAACCAUAAAAUACCACCCUUAUUGUUCUACUUUUGCUGGAAAUACUAUCAGCAAGGCUUCUUGAGGAAGCAAGAUAGUAGAGAAGUCAGUUCUUGCUUGAGUUUAACUUCAUGGCUGUGGCUCUGAUGCUUCAGUGCUCAUUUGCACUUUCUUUACUCAAGAUGAUUCUUCCUAUCUGUCUUUAGUGCGGAGUUAUUUGAUCGUAGGAUUGGAACAGGUCAGGUUAGACAUUAGAUUUGUAUUUUUAUAUUCUUAGGGUCAUAAAAGUACCUAGGCAGCCUGUUUAACUGAAUAGGAUCUUAUGUCAGAAUAUACACACUCUUAUCUAGGGUAUGCCUACCUUGAGAAUUAUUCAGGCACCAUAUUAUAUUGUUUGCAUAUCUUCCUUGAUCAUUUCUAUGUUUUGUUGCAUGGCUUCUCUCAAUAUUAAAUAUCUUUCCUGUAUCAGCCGUUUUUAUCUUCCCUCAGCAUAGAUACUGUUGGUGCAAUUUAAGCAUUACAUGUUUAUUAAUUGAGAUUAUAAAUGGGUAUUUUAGUAGAGCUUCUUUUUGAUAAACUUUGCACAUUAAUCGGCCACUAUUCCUCUUCUUCGCAGUGAACUAAAUGAUACUGUUAUUGAAGCUCAACAGAGGAUAAGAAAAGUUCCACCCCGACUUAACAUCAGUGAUGCAAUUGACCGCUAUUUGUUGUCCAAUAAUCGUCUACUAAUAUUGGUACCACUCAUCCCUCUUUCAAAUGUAAUCUGCUGAAAUUAUUUAUCCAAAAGCUAGAGUUAACUAUUUUCCCUAAUGAUUCCUGUGAUUGAUAAUAAUCGUUUGGUUCUGGAAGAGUUCAUACAUAGCAGAAAGGCUACCUAGAUGGCUUUAGACGAUGAAUCAAGUUAGUGGCAAAAGCCUUUGCUAAUUUGGAUAGCAUACCAACUGUUUUUAGAUUUGACAUGUUCACUCGAGUCCAAGUCAUGUUGGUGAUGCUUCGGUGUGCAUAUUAUGGGUGAAGGGGGUAGCUAGUAUGCUGCUAAUGACUUUUUGGCUGUAGAAGUGAAGAAUUAGCAAUAGAAGAGUGAAGAGAUCUAGGAUGCUACCAUGACGUCGGGGCCUUGGUGAUUCUGGGAGGGAAACGUCUCCAGUUAGUGGUAGACUUUGUGGGAAGGGGUUAUAUGUGUGAAGAAGAAUAGAUGCAGCCUCCUCUUCCCCAUACUUUUCCUUUGUGAGGACUCUUUGGGUUUCUCUGUCGAAUGCCUAAAUUUCAUUAGAUAUUAUAUAUUUUUAAGUUUAAUUUUCUGUUCUUUUAUACUAUAUGCAGCAACUAGCUAAGUUAAUGACAAUUUCUUGACCUGAUUACGGUGGUCCUCAAAAACAGGGUUUCAAUUCUGCGCUGACAGAAUCGGUGGAUACCCCUGGAAGAAGAGGUGGAGAUCAAAUUAGAGAGAUGGAACUGAAAUUGCAUCCCGAACUGAAAGAACCAUUGACCGCAAUCUGCAACGACCCAAAGACAACAGUUGUUGUCCUCAGUGGAAGUGACAGAAAUGUCUUAGAUGAUGUACUGCAUUACAACUAGCAAAAUUUCAAUUCCUUCAACUAUAGCUACGUUUCCCCAUGCCAAUUUUGUACCUUUGCAGAACUUCAGUGAGUACAACAUGUGGUUAGCAGCAGAAAAUGGAAUGUUUUUGCGAUCUACAAAUGGUGUAUGGAUGACAACUAUGCCAGAGCAUCUAAAUAUGGAUUGGGUUGAUAGUGUGAAGGUAUGAACAUGUGUAGCUAGGUUCUGAAAGUGGAUUUUUCAGCUCUAACUUUUCUGGUUCUUUUGACUAUAUCCAGCACGUCUUCGAGUACUUCACUGAAAGGACACCGAGAUCUCACUUUGAACAACGUGAAACUUCACUUGUUUGGAAUUACAAGUAUGCAGGUAAUCUUAGUUUCACCAUCUAUUUUUAUUUCAAGAAAAUUCAGUCAUGUGUGUCAAUUCUCUUUCCUCUUUUUUACUUAUAAUUUUCAUUUGUGGGGGUCUUCCAUGUCCUUUUAGAUGUUGAAUUUGGAAGAUUGCAAGCUAGAGACAUGCUGCAGCAUCUCUGGACAGGCCCAAUAUCAAAUGCAUCUGUUGAUGUUGUACAAGGACUCCGCUCCGUUGAGGUUCGAGCAGUAGGUGUUACAAAGGUGACCACAUUGUUUCUUUUGAUAAUAUGACCAGAUAGUUGCUCCAUGAAAUUUGUUUCAAGCGCUUGAUUAGUUCAUGAGACAAUUUUUUUUCCCAAUUCUCAUACACCCAUAUAUACAUGCAGGGAGCAGCAAUUGAUCGUAUACUGGGGGAGAUAGUACAUAGUAAAGCCAUUGCAACACCAAUUGAUUACGUCUUGUGCAUUGGGCAUUUCUUGGGGAAGGUUAAUUCCUUAAAGCUAUCAAAAUAUCCUUAAGUUAAUACUACUAUUGCUGUGAAUAACCCAAAGCUUCCCUGUCUAUUAAACUAGCUCCAGAUUUUGAUUAACUGUGGUGCAACUAUUAUUUCAAAAAAAAAAUGAACUAAAUGCUCCCAACAGAAUUAACUUAAGAAAAUCAAUGUAGGAUAGGUUGAUCAUUUACAACUGUAUACUUGUUUUCUUGUGUCCAUCUUGAAUUUUGAUGUUGUUAUAUGCCCAUUUUGUUGCUAAAAUAAUCACUAUGUUCAUCUGUAUAAAUAUAUUUAAAUUAAUGAGACUAAACUAAAUGGAUCAUGUUGCCAAAUCCUUUGAGCUUAUAUGCUUUGUAUGUCAAACUUCAAACUACGCCAGAGGUUUUUAUGAAAUACAGAUGCCACUAUUCUGAUUUCUAUCUGGUAUCUUUGUAAUGUAGGAUGAGGAUGUAUAUACAUUUUUCGAGCCAGAGCUUCCUUCUGAUUGCAUUGGUAUUCCAAGGGGUAAGGUCUCUGAUGCACUGAAGGUACCAGGGGAAAGGCGAUCGGCGCCAAAAGUUCCGUCCAGCCGAACUAGCUCAAAAUCAUCUCAGAACAGGAAUAGGCCUGUAUCGAACUCGGAGAAGAAAACUUCCAAUGGUGGUGGACGUAGCCGAACUGGUUCAAAAUCAUCUCAGAACAGGAAUAGGCCUGUAUCGAAUUCGGAGAAGAAAACUUCCAAUGGUGGUGGACGACGGACCUCACCUGAAAAUGUGUCAUGGAAUGUGCUGGAUCUGAAGAAGGAGAAUUACUUCUCUUGUGCAGUUGGCAGGACUCGUACAAAUGCUCGGUAUUUGCUCAGUACACCUGACGACGUUGUUGCUUUUCUAAAGGAAUUAGCUGAAGAAUCUAUCUCAAAUGCGCCAUUAUGAAAAGGAUAAAUGAUGCUGGUUGCCUGAUGAUGUUGUUGCUUUUCUAAAGGAAUUAGCUGAAGCAUCUUUCUCAAAUGCGCCAUUAUGAAAAGGAUAAAUGAUGCUGGUUGCAUCAAGUGAUGAAGGAUCAGUACCAAGUUUUUGAUUGAGGAGAUUUGUAUGGAGGAUAUUGAGCAACGUUUAUUCCUGAUUUGCGUUGGAUAUAUAGAUAUCUGGAUUCAAUAUUCUACAAAGUAAAGAAAUAACCUUUCUGCUAGCUAAUAAUGGCUCCCUCUGUUUCUCUUCCGACCCGUAUAUGUUUUUGCCCGUUGGAUUAUCACUUAGAACUUUAACAUACAUAUUGAGCAGUUCAAAAUCACAAGCACUUGUCAACAACUCACAAUCAUCAUUUAUGGAGUUACUAAAAUAAGCUUCAAAGAGAAUUCUUUUAAUUUUUUUGUUGGUCAUUGUUUUGUUUUCUAAUGGUUAAUUUCAGUCUUCUAAAUGGGAAUUCUUAGAAAGGCAGAGAUAUAUUGGAAUAAUGAUAAAAAUAGUUAAGGCAAAUCUUAUCCCUUGCUUAUGGUGUAUAAAAGAGCAGUUGAGCUCACGUUGACUCUCUUUAAGGGUUGCUUGAAUGGAGAGAUCUGGUUUCAUGUUUCUUAUUCACAAGAUAAAAUCAUUGCGCACCUAUUAGGUUUUACAUAUAUGAAAAUUUGAACUACUUAAAUCUUAAUGCUUCUAUCCUAAUUAUAGUGAUGUCAAAAUGGCUAAAAGAAAAUAAUUAUCC
rnacentral:lncRNA from 1 species